UACGUGGGGUGCGAGCGUUAAUCGGAAUUACUGGGCGUAAAGCGUGCGCAGGCGGUUCGUUGUGUCGGUGGUGAAAGCCCCGGGCUCAACCUGGGAAUGGCCAUGGAAACUGGCGAACUGGAGUGUGGCAGAGGGGGGUGGAAUUCCGCGUGUAGCAGUGAAAUGCGUAGAGAUGCGGAGGAACACCGAUGGCGAAGGCAGCCCCCUGGGCUAGCACUGACGCUCAGGCACGAAAGCGUGGGGAGCAAACAGG
rnacentral:rRNA from 1 species